ensembl:lncRNA
UAGUCUCCUGGAACCUGGAAUCUUGGCAUCAGCUCCCCCUCAUAACUCCAUCCGUAACAGGGCUGGGAUGUUGAAUUGCUUUCAGCAGUCUCUGAGGGGCCUGGAGCCCAGACCCUAAGCACUAAGACACGUGGCUAGACCGAACUCCAGCUGCGGACUUCGGGGAACCAGCCAGGUGCCUGCAUUUCUAUUCUGCCUGUUGCCUGGAAUGGGACCUCAUGAGUUUCUCCCUUGUUGGGGGAUUAAAUGACUACCUCUCUGGCAAAUACACUGAUAUUCUGGUGUCACUUUGAAAUCAGCCAAGAUGCAGUGGGUCUUAAUAAAGCAAUGGACCUCCAAAAAGAUAGCAAAACAAGAACCAGUAAGUAUCAGUACAGAGACGUCACAUUAAAAGGAAAAUAAAGCAAAUGAAAAGAGAGUUUCAAAUACCAGGUCACAAUUUAAGGGGCAAUAUAUCUUUAGAUGUUGAAAUGUGUGUGUGUGUGUGUGUGUGUGUGUGUGUGUGUGUGUGUGUGUGUGUGCGCGCGUAUGUGUGGAUAUGGCCUGGAUAUAUACAAACAUCUCUCCAUGUACAGAAGCAGAUCCAGAGACUGUCUGCAUCUCUAGGCAGAUUUGUGAGGGAUAGAUAAUGAUCAAUGAAUGCAAGGAACAGUAUUUCACCAUAAUUUGUCAUUUGUCCAGGGAUUAUAUAUUUAAAAUCCACAUUUAAUUCAAAGACCUCAUAUUGAAACACUUCCAGCAGUUUUAUACAUUUUUACAGUAAGACAUACAAUCUGUAAGAUGUAGGCCUUUACAUUUCAUUUUCUUCAAUUUUUUUUCUCCCAAUUCAAACCUGUGGCAAUUAGCAGCUUUUAUUUUGCUUGCUCCAGUAUGUUGAACAUUCAGCCUUCACUCAGGAUCAUUCUCAUUAAGGUACAGACCAAAGAAAUAAACACAGACCUGGCCUAAAAUGCAUAGACUAAAAAAAAUGGCAUCUCAUGUUUUCCCAUUGCGUCUUCUGAGACGCAUGUUAAGAUGGCAAAGAGUUGCUUGGUUGCUCUUGUGAAAUUCACAGUGUUUUGCCUGCAACACGUAUACAUAUAUAUAUAUAUAUAUAUAUAUAUAUAUUUUUUUUUUUUUUGCUUCUCUUUGUGUCUGUGAUGAAUGGAGCAAAGAAAUAUAUAUAUAAAUAAAUAAAUACAUAAAUAAAUAAAGGUAAAAGAAAAGGAAAAAAAUACAAAAACUAAGGAUAUUCGAGAACCUUUGACUUAUAGCAGCAGUGAUCCAUUCCAGCCCUGACAACAAGAACAUACCCCUUCAUAUUUCUCUCGAAGUCCCUCCCACUGUGGAUUCGUUAGAAUAUCAUUUGCUGUCUCAACCUCAGAGUCUCUGCACCCUACCGUCACUAAUUGGGAAGAAACUGCUUUAACUGCUCACUUAGCCAUCUGAGGAGUUGGGUCUCUGGCAUUCCCCCUCAUGAGAUUUUCUGUAACAGUGAUAAUAGGACCAAACUGAAGCUCAUCAUGGGAAACAAAAAGUCCUCAAAUGGGGGAAAAAAGGGAAAGAAAGAGUAAGAGAAUUGAGGGUAUGUGUGUCUGUAGUCAUUUAUUUAAUUAGAUACAUGAUUUAAUGUUAUUGGUAUUAUAGAAGGUCCAAUGUAAAAAAGAAAAAGUUGAAAAAAGAAGAAAGAAGUCUAUUCCUGACCAGGGGAUCCUGUCGUCAUGGUUCUUUGCAAAGGCCAGCGUUGUACACUGUUGUCUCUUGUGUUCCACUAGGAUGUGGGAAUUCACCCUGCAGUGGGGUCUUGGAUCUCACCACUGGCCUUUAGGACACUGGGUUCCCUACACUCCAGUGCUCUUCUGGAGUGCUUGGCCUCUGAAAGCAAGGGUAAAGGGGUUUCAGU